rnacentral:rRNA from 1 species
CCUACGGGUGGCAGCAGUGAGGAAUAUUGGUCAAUGGGAGAGAUCCUGAACCAGCCAAGCCGCGUGAGGGAAGACGGCCCUAUGGGUUGUAAACCUCUUUUGUCGGAGAACAAAACCCGGGACGAGUCCCGGACUGCGUUUAUCCGAAGAAAAAGCAUCGGCUAACUCCGUGCCAGCAGCCGCGGUAAUACGGAGGAUGCGAGGUUUGUCCGGAUUUAUUGGGGUAAAGGGGUGGGUAGGCGGUCUGUUAAGUCAGCGGUAAAAUGGCGGGGCUCAACCCCGUCGAGCCGUUGAAACUGGCAGACUUGAGUUGGCGAGAGGGACGCGGAAUGCGCGGUGUAGCGGUGAAAUGCAUAGAGAUCGCGCAGAACUCCGAUGGCGAAGGCAGCGUACCGGCGCCAGACUGACGCUGAGGCACGAAAGCGUGGGGAUCGAACAGGAUUAGAUACCCCUGUAGUC